GCUCCGGGUCGCCCCGAAGCCGCUGGGCUGUGCUGGAGCCCACCUGGCCUGACCGCUCGCUUGGUCCCGUCCCCCGGCCGUGCUCAGGCCUCACCACGAGCUGAGCUGGCGCUAGCAAGUCCUGUUUUGACCACACCCUGAAGACUGGAGAAGUGUUCUCCACCCUAAGAGUUUCUCUGCAGAAGUUAGUGUCCUUCAAGAUGCCGAAUCAAACUUCCGCUCCAAAUGUCGUGUCGACUGUCUGCAAAGCACGGAAUAUGAUGCCAGUGGUGCAGCAGCCAUAGUUCGGUCAUGAAGCAACAAACGGAACAGAGGCCUGCAUUCCAAGGAUGACAGAGCAGAACAAUUUAAAGAGGCUAGAUCCUUUAUGGCAUCAUUGUGCGACCAUGUUUCUUCACCGCACUGCUCCAGUGUCCUCACAACAGCGAGAUUCCCCCAGAAUGAGAGGUCCAAGAGACAAAGGCAGAAGCAGGAAUGCCUUUCAUCUCGGAAGUCACACCUUAUCACCUCCAUGGUGCUCUGUUGGUCACAGAAACCAGCCCUAAGUCAGCGUGGGAGGAGAGUACGUACAAGCAUGAAUACCAGGAGAGAGAGAGCAUAAGUAGGGAGAGCAGCA